AGGCCGGUAGUGUAGUGGAUAACAUGUUACGAUUCGAAGUCUUGAGACAAUAAAAAAGAGGGUACGAUUCCCUUCCGGUUCA
rnacentral:tRNA from 1 species